GCUUGCUUCAGUAACAUGUGCACCUACAACCAGAAAGAUACAGAGAAGAGUAAAAUGGCCCCUGCGUGAAUGACUCACAAAUUCAUGAAAUGUUCCAUUUUUUA
rfam:Mustela putorius furo unplaced genomic scaffold scaffold00043, whole genome shotgun sequence.